UGAGGAAUAUUGGUCAAUGGGCGGAAGCCUGAACCAGCCAAGUAGCGUGCAGGACGACGGCCCUAUGGGUUGUAAACUGCUUUUAUGCGGGGAUAAAGUAUGGGACGUGUCCCAUUUUGCAGGUACCGCAUGAAUAAGGACCGGCUAAUUCCGUGCCAGCAGCCGCGGUAAUACGGAAGGUCCGGGCGUUAUCCGGAUUUAUUGGGUUUAAAGGGUGCGUAGGCUGUUUGUCAAGUCAGAGGUGAAAGGCCGCAGCUCAACUGUGGAAUUGCCUUUGAUACUGGCAGGCUUGAAUACUGUUGCCGUGGGAGGAAUGAGUAGUGUAGCGGUGAAAUGCAUAGAUAUUACUCAGAACACCGAUUGCGAAGGCAUCUCACGAAGCAGACAUUGGCGCUGAGGCACGA
rnacentral:rRNA from 1 species